UACGGAGGGUGCAAGCGUUGUCCGGAUUUAUUGGGUUUAAAGGGUGCGUAGGCGGUCUUUUAAGUCAGGGGUGAAAUCCUGGAGCUCAACUCCAGAACUGCCUUUGAUACUGAGGAUCUUGAGUUCGGGAGAGGUGAGUGGAACUGCGAGUGUAGAGGUGAAAUUUCGUAGAUAUUCGCAAAGAACACUAGUGGCGAAGGCGGCUCACUGGCCCCGAUACUGACGCUGAGGGCACGAAAAGCGUGGGGGGAGCAAAACAGG
rnacentral:rRNA from 1 species